rnacentral:rRNA from 1 species
AUACGUAGGUGGCAAGCGUUAUCCGGAUUUACUGGGUGUAAAGGGCGCGUAGGCGGGGAUGCAAGUCAGAUGUGAAAUCUAUGGGCUUAACCCAUAAACUGCAUUUGAAACUGUAUAUCUUGAGUGUCGGAGAGGUAGAUGGAAUUCCUUGUGUAGCGGUGAAAUGCGUAGAUAUAAGGAAGAACACCAGUGGCGAAGGCGAUCUACUGGACGAUAACUGACGCUGAGGCGCGAAAGCGUGGGGAGCAAACAGGAUUAGAUACCCUGGUAGUCCACGCUGUAAACGAUGAAUACUAGGUGUGGGGGGACUGACCCCUUCCGUGCCGCAGUUAACACAAUAAGUAUUCCACCUGGGGAGUACGGCCGCAAGGCUGAAACUCAAAGGAAUUGGCGGGG